rnacentral:rRNA from 1 species
GAUGAACGCUGGCGGCAUGCCUAACACAUGCAAGUCGAACGAAGCUGCUCGGAAAGAGAUUUCGGUCAAUUGAAGAGUAGACUUAGUGGCGAACGGGUGAGUAAUGCAUGAGCAACCUGCCCUUCAGUGGGGGAUAACAGCCGGAAACGACUGCUAAUACCGCAUAACAUUUUCGAGAGGCAUCUCUUGAAAAUCAAAGAUUUAUUGCUGAAGGAUGGGCUCAUGUCUGAUUAGUUAGUUGGUGAGGUAACGGCUCACCAAGACCGCGAUCAGUAGCCGGUCUGAGAGGAUGAACGGCCACAUUGGGACUGAGAUACGGCCCAGACUCCUACGGGAGGCAGCAGUGGGGAAUAUUGGGCAAUGGGUGAAAGCCUGACCCAGCAAUGCCGCGUGAAGGAAGAAGGCCUUCGGGUUGUAAACUUCUUUUAUCAGGGACGAAGAAAGUGACAGUACCUGAUGAAUAAGCUCCGGCUAACUACGUGCCAGCCGCCGCCGUAA